GGAGGAACCAAAAACAAACUUUCGGAGCCUCUGAAUCUGCAUUUCUUGCAAGAAUUCUCCGCCAGCGAUUACAGGCUACCUAAGACUCGGCACCCGAGCUGAGAGGCCACUCGAGGAGCCCCGGCCCGGCGAGAAUCGCUGGAUCCCAACUGCCAAGAAACCCCAGACCUGGAGCCUGUUUGUGAAAGUGAUAACCCAUCAGUCAACCCUCCAGAAGGUCCUGGUGCCUGAAGACAUUCUCUGUUGACUAACUCAUAUACUCAGAUGGACAGUCUUGGUAUUUGUAGACUAAAUUUCUGCAGACAUUUAUGAGUCUAAAAAAGGUUUGAAGAAGACGAUGAAGAACAUAGAAAAAAAUGUCUAACACAAUAUACAGUCCCUAGAGUAUGGGCCAACUGAUGUUUCAAAAUUAAGUAAACCCUUGAGGAUGCAUCUUUAUUCAUCUCAUAAAGCAUGGUUUGGUAUUGCUUUUUGUUUAGAUUUGCUUAGUAACUUGGUUGGGGUUUUGAGGGUUUUAUUGUUUUAGGAAGAUUAAACCCAUUCUAGUUUAAUUUUUGCAACUAAGAAUUCGAAAAGAUAAAAUCUAUAU